rnacentral:rRNA from 1 species
GACGAACGCUGGCGGCGUGCCUAAUACAUGCAAGUAGAACGCUGAAGGAGGAGCUUGCUUCUCUGGAUGAGUUGCGAACGGGUGAGUAACGCGUAGGUAACCUGCCUGGUAGCGGGGGAUAACUAUUGGAAACGAUAGCUAAUACCGCAUAAGAGUGGAUGUUGCAUGACAUUUGCUUAAAAGGUGCACUUGCAUCACUACCAGAUGGACCUGCGUUGUAUUAGCUAGUUGGUGGGGUAACGGCUCACCAAGGCGACGAUACAUAGCCGACCUGAGAGGGUGAUCGGCCACACUGGGACUGAGACACGGCCCAGACUCCUACGGGAGGCAGCAGUAGGGAAUCUUCGGCAAUGGACGGAAGUCUGACCGAGCAACGCCGCGU